AGCGCAGGCGGUGCGGCAAGUCUGAUGUGAAAGCCCGGGGCUCAACCCCGGGACUGCAUUGGAAACUGUCGUACUUGAGUAUCGGAGAGGUAAGUGGAAUUCCUAGUGUAGCGGUGAAAUGCGUAGAUAUUAGGAGGAACACCAGUGGCGAAGGCGGCUUACUGGACGAUAACUGACGCUGAGGCUCGAAAGCGUGGGGAGCAAACA
rnacentral:rRNA from 1 species